CCCAUUCACAUUGCCUUAAAUGGGUUAAACAACAAAACAACAAAGGUGGGGACAUAUCCCACUGUUUUCAUUUCCUUAUUUUACUUUGCUUGGUGGAUUUCAUUCUGAUCAUGCCUAAGCAACGUCUCUGCACGGCGCCAGGCGCCCCGCAAUCCCCUGUCUCCCUCCGGCUUCUCCAGCCUAAAGCAGAGAUACCGUUCUACGAUACUAACCCAGGUUGCUAUUGAUUAUUCAUUUUUCAUGGAGACUGUGAUGUCAGCCUCAUCUUCCCCCGAUCCAAAUUGCGUCACUGUUGAAGACAGUGAUGAUGAUGAUGAUGAUGAUGAUGAUUCCUAUGCCGGUGAAUGUAGCCUUAAUUACAACAACCGUGCUUGGGUUGAUGACAUCGACAACAUCAGUGACCGUUCCGAUAGCGACCAGGAGCUGCCCGAGAGCAAGAGGGCCUGAGAGGGGUAGAUUACACCGAAAAUGCGCUAUUCCCUUUUUUCUUUGCUUUUCUGUUUUUGGUCUAGUCUGCUUGGUACGAGCUCUGCGGAAGAUAUGUUAUCACCUUUUAUGGCAUUAUCAAUAAACUUCCCCAUUCCAGACUC